rnacentral:rRNA from 1 species
GAGGCAGCAGUAGGGAAUAUUGGGCAAUGGCCGCAAGGCUGACCCAGCCAUGCCGCGUGCCGGAUGAAGGCCUUCUGGGUUGUAAACGGCUUUUACCAGGGAAGAAAAUACCUUUGCGAAGGGAACUGACGGUACCUGGUGAAUAAGCACCGGCUAACUCCGUGCCAGCAGCCGCGGUAAUACGGAGGGUGCAAGCGUUGUCCGGAUUUAUUGGGUUUAAAGGGUGCGUAGGCGGCUUAAUAAGUCCGUGGUGAAAGCCAACAGCUCAACUGUUGAACUGCCAUGGAUACUGUUAGGCUUGAGUACAGACGAGGUAGGCGGAAUGGAUAGUGUAGCGGUGAGAUGCAUAGAUACUAUCCAGAACUCCGAUUGCGUAGGCAGCUUACUAGGCUGUAACUGACGCUGAGGCACGAAAGCGUGGGGAGCGAACAGGAUUAGAUACCCUGGUAGUCCACGCUGUAAACGAUGAUUACUCGAUGUUGGCGAUACACCGUCAGCGUCUUAGCGAAAGCGUUAAGUAAUCCACCUGGGGA